AUUGAACGCUGGCGGCAGGCCUAACACAUGCAAGUCGAGCGAGUGGCGGACGGGUGAGUAAUGUCUGGGGAACUGCCUGAUGGAGGGGGAUAACUACUGGAAACGGUGGCUAAUACCGCAUACCAUCAGAUGUGCCCAGAUGGGAUUAGCUAGUAGGUGGGGUAACGGCUCACCAAGGCGACGAUCCCUAGCUGGUCUGAGAGGAUGACCAGCCACACUGGAACUGCGACACGGUCCAGACUCCUACGGGAGGCAGCAGUGGGGAAUAUUGCACAAUGGGCGCAAGCCUGAUGCAGCCAUGCCGCGUGUAUGAAGAAGGCCUUAGGGUUGUAAAGUACUUUCAGCGGGGAGGCGUUACCCGCAGAAGAAGCACCGGCUAACUCCGUGCCAGCAGCCGCGGUAAUUC
rnacentral:rRNA from 1 species